UACGGAGGGUGCGAGCGUUGUCCGGAAUCACUGGGCGUAAAGGGCGCGUAGGUGGCGCGGCAAGUCAACGGUGAAAGCUCGACGCUCAACGUCGAGUCGGCCGUCGAUACUGCCGCGCUGGAGCACUGUAGAGGCUCAUGGAAUUCCGGGUGUAGCGGUGGAAUGCGUAGAUAUCGGGAGGAACACCAGUGGCGAAGGCGACUACCUGGCCUGUUCUUGACGCUGAGGCGCGAAAGCUAGGGGAGCAAACGGGG
rnacentral:rRNA from 1 species